AUACGGAGGGUGCAAGCGUUAUUCGGAAUCACUGGGCGUAAAGCGUACGUAGGCGGUUUAUUAAGUCAGAUGUGAAAGCCCCGGGCUUAACCUGGGAACUGCAUUUGAAACUAGUAGACUAGAGUAUGGUAGAGGGGGGUAGAAUUCCUAGUGUAGCGGUGAAAUGCGUAGAUAUUAGGAGGAAUACCAGUGGCGAAGGCGGCCCCCUGGACCAAUACUGACGCUGAGGUACGAAAGCGUGGGGAGCGAACAGGAUUAGAAACCCUAGUAGUCC
rnacentral:rRNA from 1 species